UUGUUAGAGGGUGCUUUUAUGUACCAAGUUAAAUAAUGCCAUGUGGCUUUUAAUAUUUAGUAAACAUUUUAAUGUUAACAAGAAGUAAUGUUUUUUGGAUAUUUUGAUUUUGAAUGUUACAAUACUGCUUCAUUUAGGCGCCUGUAUACGUCAGAUUAAGUUAAAGGAAAAGACACACUCUGGCAUAAAAAGGACGUUCGCAGCUGCUGGGACCAAAACACUCUGGCAAAAACAGACAGAUCCCUGGCACACGAGUGUGCGGGAAAACCGUCAGCAGCGGCGUUCUGGAGUCAGUCUCCGCCGAGUGGGCUGACACCGCCUCCUCUCAGGACGAGCGGCGACAGCCCUUUCUUUGGUUCGCCGCCGCCGCCUCUCCAGGACGCCCGAGCCCUUCCCCACAGGACUCCUGACCCUCCUCGCACCCGGCACCAAAAUAUGUGUCUGGGGUUCCUUCUGUGAGAAAUGCGCUCACUGGUCGGAACUUGGUUGCUUCCAUGUCUUGGCUAGUGUGAGUGAUGCUGCAGUGAACUUGGAAAUGCAGAUAUCUCUUUGAGAUCCUGAUUUCAAUUCCUUUGGACAUAUGCCCAGACAUGAGAUUGCUGGAUCAUAUGGAGUUGCUACAGCUGAGAAUGGGAUGCCAAGGGCCAAAUCAAAACUAGCAUGAUUUAGGUCAUGGAAGAUACCUAAGAUCUUAUUGUGGAAUUAGAGAUUUCACCUGUUCUAAUGGAUUUCUCAAGAGGCAUCCACAGACCACCUUCAUCAAAAUCAUUGUUAAAAACGAAGAAUCAUGAGGCCUAUUUCAGGCUUACAGAAUUAGAAACUCUGGAAGCAGCCCUAGAAAUCAGCAAAUUUUACAUAUUCCUAGAUAAACUUUAAGCCUGCUAAAGUUUGAGAACACUAGGAAGGUAGCAACUUCAGUGGAGUCAGGUUUUUAGAAUGAACUUGCUGUGUGAUUUCAGACGAACUUCUGAUCUGCUUUAUCUGUAAUUGCUC